rnacentral:rRNA from 1 species
UGAGGCGGAGCAAACACAAAACACAGUCUCAGUUCAGAUUGUAGGCUGAAACUCGCCUAUAUGGAGUCGGAAUUGCUAGUAAUCGCGGAUCAGCAUGCCGCGGUGAAUACGUUCCCGGGCCUUGUACACACCGCCCGUCACACCAUGAGAGUCGAUAACACCCGAAGCCUGUAGUCUAACAGCAAUGAGGACGCAGUCGAAGGUGGGAUUGAUAAUUAGGGUGAAGUCGUAACAAGGUAGC